ensembl:lncRNA
GUGGAGGGGAAAUGUUCUAAACCAAAAAUCCUGGAUGCUCCGCCCAAAGCCUCCCCUGCAAAGACUAGCCCCUCAGCUCCCUGGACAGGCCGGCCUCCAUCCUCUCAGGCCCCAGACGGGGAGUGGACAGGAAGCCACGGGGCUGCACCUCGAAUUUCUCGGGAGACAAGCGGUGGACAGAGGACGUGGACACACUCCGCCUUCGCGCUCCGCUCGCUAAGCCAUAUGGCGCCUUGCCUACCUGACGGGAGCGGCUGGAGCGUCCUGGCACAAGGGCAGUUAGGCUCGAGGCGUGUGUCCCGAGCUGGGGGGGACAGCAGCGCCUUCUCCACAAGCCCAUUCUUCCUUGUUCCCUCUGCCUGGAGCCCAGUCUUCGGGACGGAACUGUGGGUCCGAGGCUGCGGCUCUUGGCCCCGGGGCCCUGGGGCUCUGGGGCGUGGGAGCCGCUGGACCCAAGGGAGAGCCGGGUGUUUCUGGUUAGAGUUCAGCUUCCAGACAGUGUGACAUUGGGAAGCCUGGGUUCCUAACCUCUCCUCUUGAGGGAGAGGAAAAUAAAACACGUGAUAGGGAAAUGGAUAUUGGAUUUUAAUCCUGGUUCCGAACCCAGGACGGGCACCAUUUCUCUAACAGAGGCAGGAGGUGUGUCCUCUCCCGCCUGCUCCCGCAGCAAUGCCCUGCAGGUGUCCAGCGCUCGGCCUCGCGGGGACCCUAUCCAGGGCCCGGCGAUGGACAGGCGCGCUGCCCUUUCCCACGAGAGCCACAGCCGCAGGGCUGCGCUCUCUGCCUGAGCAGCAGGGAUGGGUUUGCCCAGGUUUCCCCCACCCUUGCCGGGGCUCCCGGGCACAGGGUUCCAGGCUGGUGAGCGGCAGGGCGGGGCCGUGGACAGUUCCCACGCCUGGCGACCGUGGAGCACAUCUUCUGGAUCUCCUGCACCUCCUCCCUCUGAAUAAAUCGGCCCAAAGCGAGGCCCUCCCAUCCCCGGCCACGAUUUUAAGGAGCCCUUGGUACGCGCCAUCGUGGAGGAAAACGAGCCGUGGGGCAGCGUCAGGGGAGACCCCAGGGGGUGGCGCGCACUCCCCAAAGCCCUGUUGACGCUGCCCUUGAGCUUGGAGGCGGCCGGACCGCAGCGUGGCGUUUGCAUAAUGGUUCUGAUGGUUCACAGCAUGGUUUUCGGUUUUUACAAAUUCCUGGCACACAGCGUAGUUCUUCUCCCAGUGAGCCGUCAGUCCGCGUAUCCAGACGCAGCUCUCUGGCUCAGCAUCUCUGCCGUGUGGACCAUCCAAGAGGUGGGAUGAGGGGUGGAUCCCUGGGACUGAGCCGGUUGGCAGGCACGCCUCGUUCCCUGUCAGCCUCACCUGCCGGUUUAUUGGGGGCUUGGGUCAGUCCGAACUUUUUCCGGCCGCAUUUUCUGGAAUCGUGCAGAAAAUUAGAUCUUCUUUAAAAACAAAAACACUUGUAGGAAGAGAGGUGCUAUGGG